GGGAAGUCGGCCCGGCGGAGGGCAGAGCCCUGGGCGUGGAGGAAGCUGGAGCCAGGGGAGACUGGCAGGAAAGGAUCACGUGGGCCAGCGAGAGGAGAGCCUGGACAGGGGCCAGCAAAGGGCGAACUUCUGCAGACGAGGACUAUCCAGCCCUAGGGGUACGGGAGAGGGAAAGACGAGGCCGAGAGGGACCCUGACUUUGCAGCAGGGUGUCUGGGCAUUGGUGGCUCCACCUGCAGAACCAAAAGAAUCCACCAGGUCUGAUGGGCAAAGGUUCCUCCUCCCCUGCUGCAGCUAACAUGGAGGACUUGCAUGGAGAUGGUGGAGUCACAGGAUGAACACAGGCUAAGUCACUACCUGGAGGACAGCUGCCUGGACAGUCACCUGGAUCGCAGUGGACUGCAUGAAUGAAAACAAAUUUGUUCCCAGGUUCUUGGGGCUUGAAAAGAUCCCUUUAUGGAGUGAAGCCACUUUUUCUCAACGUUCUGAAACUCACGCUGCUCCAGCCUGAGGCUUCCAGAAGUGCCCUACAGGUGCCUGAGUGUGUGGGCCUGCUGCCUGCAAGUGCACCCGGGGAGUGCGGGGUUUGGCGUUUACAGAUGUGACCAGGGGCUAAGAGACUGGGGCGCAGCCUCUCCCCAACACGGACUCUAUUUCCCCACACGCUCACUUCCCCUCCCUCAACUGCAGUCUUCUUUCUCUAUAACUAACACAGGGAUCACUGCCUCUAUUUUCUUAGAGGUAUUGUUCAUCGCUCACCCCUCACGCAAACAGCAACCAAGAAGACUACAUUUCCCAGACUCCUGCGCAGCUUAGUGUGGCCAUCUGGCCAAAUUCUGGUCAGAAGGUGGAAGUGUUAAGUACAGCAUGGAUCUUUCAGGAAGGCUUUCUUUAAGAGAGUUGAAUCAGGUGUGAGGUAUGCUCUUUUUUUCCUGUCUGUUUCUCUUUCCUUCUGCUUCGAGCAUGGACAUAAUGCUGGAGCUUCAGCAGCCAUCUUAGACCAUAAGGUGACUUUCAAGAGGAAAGCCACAUGCUGAAGGAAGAUGGCACAGGAGGAAGAUAGGAGCCUAGGCCACUGAGGACAGAGGGAGCAGUGCUUUAAUACCUACCUCUAGACUUCCUUUAUGUGACAGAGAAGUAAACUGAUCUUCUUUAAGUUAAAGUUAUGUUGAGUUUUUAGUUAUAUGAGAACAAAUCUAGGUCGGGUGCUGUGGCUCACGCCUCUAAUCCCAGCACUUUGGGAGGCUGAGGCAGGCAGAUCACUUGAGGUCAGGAGUUCGAGACCAGCCUGGCCAACAUGGUGAAACCCCAAUCUCAACUCAAAAUUAGCCAGGCAUGGUGGCGUGCGCCAGAAAUCCCACUAUUCGAUAGGAUGAGGCAGGAGAACUGCUUGAACCUGGGAGGUGUAGGUUGCAGUGCGCUGAAAUCACGCCAUUGCACUCCAGCCUGGGUGGCAGAACAAGACUCCAUCUCAAAAAAAAAAAAAAAAAAAGAAAAAAAGAAAGAAAGAAAAGAAAACAAAUCUAACCCUAAAUGUUAUGUUAGGGUAAAAUUGAUUUUUUAAAAAAGUCAUUUUUCAAACUCUGUUAGCACCUUUUUACCCAUGUUAGUCCAUCUGCUAAAAUGAACAUCAGUAUUUGAAAAGGUGUACAUCAAGCUUGUCCAACCCGUGGCCCACAGGCUGCAUGUGGCCCAGGAUGGCUUUGAAUGUGGCCUAACACAAAUUCGUGAACUUUCUUAAAACAUUAUGAGAUUUUGUGUGUGUGUGUGUGUGUGUGUGUGUGUGUGUGUGUUAGCUCAUCAGCUAUCAUAGUGUUAGAGUAUUUUAUGUGUGGCCCAAGACAAUUCUUCUUCUUUCAAUGUGACCCAGGGAAACCAAAAGGUUGGAUACCCCUGGACUGUACCUAAUUAUUUCUUGUGCUCAGCAAGGUUAAGCAACUUGCCUAAAGUCACCCAG
rnacentral:lncRNA from 10 species